rnacentral:rRNA from 1 species
UGGGGAAUCUUCCGCAAUGGACGAAAGUCUGACGGAGCAACGCCGCGUGUAUGAUGAAGGUCUUCGGAUUGUAAAGUACUGUCAUUGGGGAAGAACGGUUUUCUUGAGAAUAUUGAGAAGACAUGACGGUACCCAAGGAGGAAGCCCCGGCUAACUACGUGCCAGCAGCCGCGGUAAUACGUAGGGGGCAAGCGUUGUCCGGAAUUAUUGGGCGUAAAGGGCGCGUAGGCGGGCCUUUAAGUCCGGUGUGAAAGAUCAGGGCUCAACCCUGAGAGUGCAUCGGAAACUGGAGGCCUUGAGGACAGGAGAGGAAAGUGGAAUUCCACGUGUAGCGGUGAAAUGCGUAGAUAUGUGGAGGAACACCAGUGGCGAAGGCGACUUUCUGGACUGUAACUGACGCUGAGGCGCGAAAAGCGUGGGGAGCAAACAGGAUUAGAUACCCUGGUAGUCCACGCCGUAAACGAUGAGUGCUAGGUGUAGAGGGUAUCGACCCCUUCUGUGCCGCAGUUAACACAAUAAGCACUCCGCCUGGGGAGUAC